rnacentral:rRNA from 1 species
GACGAACGCUGGCGGCGUGCCUAAUACAUGCAAGUCGAGCGCAGGAAGUCAUCCGAACCCUUCGGGGGGACGUUGACGGAAUGAGCGGCGGACGGGUGAGUAACACGUAAAGAACCUGCCCUCAGGUCUGGGAUAACCACGAGAAAUCGGGGCUAAUACCGGAUGGGUCAUCGGACCGCAUGGUCCGAGGAUGAAAGGCGCUCCGGCGUCGCCUGGGGAUGGCUUUGCGGUGCAUUAGCUAGUUGGUGGGGUAAUGGCCCACCAAGGCGACGAUGCAUAGCCGACCUGAGAGGGUGAUCGGCCACACUGGGACUGAGACACGGCCCAGACUCCUACGGGAGGCAGCAGUAGGGAAUCUUCCACAAUGGACGAAAGUCUGAUGGAGCAACGCCGCGUGAACGAUGAAGGCCCUCGGGUCGUAAAGUUCUGUUGUAAGGGAAGAACAAGUGCCGCAGGCAAUGGCGGCAACUUGACGGUACCUUGCGAGAAAGCCACGGCUAACUACGUG